rnacentral:rRNA from 1 species
UACGUAGGGUGCAAGCGUUAAUCGGAAUUACUGGGCGUAAAGCGUGCGCAGGCGGCUUUGCAAGACAGAUGUGAAAUCCCCGGGCUUAACCUGGGAACUGCACUUGUGACUGCAAGGCUGGAGUACGGCAGAGGGGGAUGGAAUUCCGCGUGUAGCAGUGAAAUGCGUAGAUAUGCGGAGGAACACCGAUGGCGAAGGCAAUCCCCUGGGCCUGUACUGACGCUCAUGCACGAAAGCGUGGGGAGCAAACAGG